GCGGGGGUUGCCGAGCCUGGUCAAAGGUGCAGGGCUUAGGACCCUGUGAUGUAGGUCUUCCUGGGUUCAAAUCCCAGCUCCCGCACCA
rnacentral:tRNA from 2 species